ensembl:lncRNA
AGAAUUUGUUUUUGACCCUUCUAGGAACUCAUGGUCAAGAGGGAUGUGGGGCGUGUCUGUGAGCUAUGAAAAUGGAAUGCAUGGAUGACAUACAGAAGGGUGAUUUUCAUGGAGUGACACAGGCAUGUGGACAGAACUGGGAAAAAUAUGAUGGGCAAGGAGGACAGCAAGACAUCUGGAGAGAGGAUAGAGCAAAGGAUCUGCAAGUGCCUGGGGCUGGGCUGGCCUCAGAGCACGGAGGAGAGGAGAUGCCAUAACCUACCACCUGCGAUCCUGGGAUGCCCUACUUAAUCGCAAUAUGGGGUGAAUUCUGCAGAGUGAAACACCUCUUAUGGAAAGACUAAGCCCCGUGUUGGCUUUCUCUUGGAACCCACUUGUUCUCUACCUGAUAGAGCGUGGCCCACUGUGAUGGCUGCCCAGACUGGCCUCUCUGGUUGGUAGCCACGUUGGCUUGCAGAUUCUUCAAUACAUUCUCUCUAUAGGAAACUUGAAACAAAAGGUCAGACAGGAACCUGAAGUUGUUCUUAGCAUCAGGGAAUGUCUGGAUGAACACAGGCAUUUUCCAAAAGCUCUUUUUACAGUGAUUGAGACAUUUCUUGAGAGAAGGUCUAGAAUUUAGAAAUCUUUUGGCAUUUCUGGCAUAACAGAGCUUUUUCCAUUCAGAAGUUCUUCCACUGCCUCAUUAUUUUUAAAAUAAAUGUUUAUGGAAAGACA